GACUAUUUAGUUUAAUUAAAACAAAUGUUUUGUAAACAUUAAAUAAAAAAUAUUUUUUAAUAGUCU
rnacentral:tRNA from 1 species